AGAAACUUGUUCCCGGUGAGGGUGGCAGAGCCUGGCCCAGGCUGCCCAGGGGGUUGUGGAGUCUCCUUCUCUGCAGACAUUCCAACCCGCCUGGACACCUUCCUGUGUAACCUCAUCUGGGUGUUCCUGCUCCAUGGGGGGAUUGCACUGGAUGAGCUUUCCAGGGCCCUUCAACCCCUGACACUGGGAUUCUGGGAUUCUAUGAAGUGGUUAAACUAAGACUAAAUGAGUUCUAGCUGGUGAAAGGAGCAGCCCCUGCUCCCAGCAGCGUGUUUCUGCCCGGUUUGUCACCUCGGUCCCGGUGAUGAUUUGUCCCUCUCAGGAGCUGAAUCAGUUCCUGAAACCCAGCCUGGGAAGAAAGAAACUGCGGUGAACUCCGGCCCCGAAUGACUCGUCCAGGGUUGCGCAAGAGGAGCUGGGCCGGGCUGGAGCUCAGCGCCAGGUUAUUGCUCCAGAGAUAACCGAGAUCUGCUGCCCGGCACCGACACGGAGCCCAGGACCUCCUGCUGCCCCCAGUGAGCCGAGCCAGCCAACCACCUCCUGACCGCAGGGAUAAAAAUACCACUUAUUGUGGGCUUAGACCAGGAUAAAAAAGAACCGUAGAAUCAUUUUGGUUGGAAAAGACCUUUCGUAUAAUCUAGUCCAGCCGUUAACAGUCUUCAUAUCCAGCUGCUGGAAGGAUGAUGCCUGAUGUCAACAAAACGUGGUGGCUUUUGUCUGGAAAGCUUUUCACAACAUUUAAUGCAAAUUUAAGUUCCAUCUUCGUGUGCACACUAGUAUUAAAUUUCAGAGCCCCUGCUACGCAGAAUAUUUGAUUUACUUUCAACUUAAUGAUGCUGAGAAUGUUUGGAAGUGGUUAUAUUCAUUAAUAUGAACGCCAGCAUAGGUGAAACUACGUUUAUCCACAUUCAAGCUGGAAUUAAAUCAGUAACAGAAAGAAGGCUCAUAGGGGUUUCAUGGUAACGGUGCCAUCUGAGCUUUAGCUCAGCCGGGGGAGCUGAUGAACACAGGAGGAACUCCCGAUGCUGCAGCCGCUUCCUGGCUGAUUUUGGGGACUCUCUUGGGUACAGAUUCUGUAUGUUGUUUUUAGAUCUGGGCUGCUGCCCUCUCCCUGCUCCUCAGCGUUGCGAGGGCUCCAGAGCAACAAAGACGGUGCAUUUGUCUUAUCACCCCUCAUCCAGUGCUCCUUGGAGAUGAUUCAAGUCUGUUCCUUACCCCAAGGAGCCUGAAUCGUCAAGGUCAACAUGACAGCCGAGCACCAGAUCCCCCCAGAGCCUCGUGCUGUGUGUGGGGGCAGCUGGGACUGCUUGGCAGGAGGGACAAGGGCUGCCCUGUGCCGGUAACACUCAGCUCGUCACGCUCAAAGCCCAUUUAAAGGGCAGAGGGCGGGUGGUUGGGCGGCUUUUACCUUCCCGGGGGCAGUAGCUGGGCAGGCAGGUGUUGGCGUCCAGAAACGGAAUAUUUACCAUGGCCAAGGCCAUAAAUGGUUGCGUUUCAAGCUGCCCUCUGGUGGUUUGGGACAGAAGGACCGAGAUGAAGAUCUGGCGUCACUGACGUCACCUGCUCGGUAGAGACUCCGGGGAAAAUCACCGACUGAGCACCCUCGGCAUCGCACCCGAGAGCUGCCGGAGCUGAGUGACGUGAGAGCGGCGGGUGGGACGUGACGAGUCACAGGACGGGACACAGAAUGAGUCCCCCCUCAGUCUCCUCUUGUCCAGCUCCAGAGCCCCAGCUCCCUCAGCCUUUCCUCACACGGGAGAUGCUCCACACGGUGAGUGACUGGGUGGGAUACGGUGGGUGACAUGGUCAGCUGUGGGGUGGGACACGGUGGCUCCACUCCCGCAGCCUCCUGGGUGACCUGCAGUGGUGCUGGGGCCACGUUGCUGCUAAUUAAGCCUGAUUAGGACUAAAUGAAUGGGCUUUAAAGGUCACACAGACCAUCUGCAUGGGGGGGUGACGGGAUGUGUCAGGAUGAGGUGGUGGAGCAGGGAAACGCGGGUAAAGGCCUCAUAGGAACUUCUGCACCGUCUCUGGUAAGAGAAAGGCCUGAGCUCUGAGCACAGCUUUAGUGGCACCUUUAAUCCCUCACCAUCAGUAACACCUUGUACAUAAGCAUAAAAAUGAGCUAGGUAUUUACUAAAUUCCUGACUUUUAGGCUUUGUUACUCUAUCAGUUUUGAAUUUCAAGCUUUUCCUUUGUUUUGAAGAAGCCGGGAGCCUGCUGAGGGCUGUGUCGGGCAGCCGGGUUCCUGCCGGUACACAUGGGGAGCGUGUGUGCGCACGUCCGCUCGCUGCCGUGCCUCUGCCGCACCUCUCGGGCAGAGACACCCCGUGGGAAGGGUGCACACGUGUGAGUAAAACGCCCGAACCCCACAGCACAAGGAGCUGGUCCUGUCUGCACAGGCACUGGGGAUGCUGGUUGGAGCUGGACUGGCACUGGGCAGGUUUGUGUGGCUUAUUCCUGCCAGGGUGACCACAGAGACGUCUGAUGGGCUGGUGUUCCCCUGGGAGCCGUUGUAGUGCGUGAGCUGUGUGAAAAUAUAGGACAACUGCAAGUACCGUACUGACAUCUCCACAAAUCAUAGAAUCCUUUUGGUUGGAAAAGACCCUCAAGAUCAUGGAGUCCAACAAUUCCCCAGCCCUGUCCCUGCCCCAUGUCCUGAGAACCUCAUGUCCGUCUGUCCAGCCCUCCAGGGAUGGUGACUCCAGCACUGCCCUGGGCAGCCUGUUCCAAUGCCCCACAGCCCUUUGGGGAAGAAAUUGUUCCCACAUCCAACCUCAACCUCCCCUGGCGCAACUUGAGGCUGUUUUCUCUCAUCCUGUUGCUUGCUGCUUGAGAGCAGAGACCAGCACCCUCCAUCCUCCAUCCUCCUCUCAGAGGUCAGACAGGCAGGCCUGUAAUUUUCCAGAUCCUCAUCCUGAUCCUUCCUGUAGAUGUGCAUCACAUUCACCAACUUCCAGCCAACUGGGACCUCCCCAUGUCCAGCCUGAAUCUCCCUCCUUUAGUUUAAAACCAUCACCCCUUGUCCUACCACAACAGGCCCUUCUGUAAAGUCUGUCCCCAUCUUUCUUAUGGGCCCUUUUAAGUCCAGAAAGGCCUCACUAAGGUCUCCCUGGAGCUUCUCUUCUCCAGUGAACACCCCAGCUCUCUCACCUGUCCCCAGCAGAGCUGUUCCAGCCUCAGGUCAUUCCUGGGGCUCCUCUGGCCCCUCUGCAGCAGCUCCAUGUGUGUCCUGUGCUGGGGACCCAGAGCUGGACCAGCACUGCAGGGGGUCUCACCAGAGCGGGGCAGAGGGGCAGAAUCCCCCCAAACCUGCUGCCCACGGGGCUGGGGAUGCACCCCAGGGCACCAUUGGCUUCUGGGCUGUGAGCACACGUGGUGGCUCAUGGCCCCCAGCACCUCCGAGUCCUUCCCCACAGGGCUGCUCCACAUCCCUCCAUCCCCAGAUUGAUGCUGGGGGUGCAGGACCUUGCACUUGGCCUUGUUGAACAUCAGGAGGUUCACAUGGCCCCACUUCUCCAGCUUGUCCAGGUCCCUCUGGGUGGAUCCCAUCCCUCUGGAUGAAUCCCAUCCCUCAGGCGUGGGGGAAUAUGAUGCCUUCAUAGCAGGAGAAAGGCUCAUCCUCUGGCUUCUUCCUCUCCCCUGGGGAGUGUCUGACUCGGGCACCGCUUUUAGAAACUGCUGAGGCAUGGUCCUGGCAGCCAAGAGCUGCUGCUGGUUCCCUGCGAGGAGACGCGAGGGCCGGAUCCCCGGUGCGCUCCUGCGCUGACGGGAGCUCUGGCCGUGUCCGAGCAAUGUGGCUGCAGAGGAAAAGCCGCUCCGCUUGCUGAAAUAAAGAAGCGGGAGGAGGCAGAAGGGCUGGCGGGCAGACGGCCUGUGAUAUGGUUGCCUGGUCGCCGCCCUCUGUUUUUAUCCAGUUUGGUUUGGCCCAGCCUGGAGCACAGCAUUCCUGGCUUCAUCCCAACUGGUGGAGAUAUUGGGACGCGCAGGUGGCAGCCGAGGUCCCCACCGAGCGGUGGAUGAUGGUGACCCAGGAGGGGCUUGUGGCAGAUCCCCGGGGACGUUGAGCCCUGCGCCCGAGCUGGAGCCUCCUGUGCCAGCAAACGGCGAGUGAACGAGGAUCGAUCCAGCUGCAGGUCCUGGCUCGGAUGGCGGGGAGGAUGGGGUCUGCUGAGCUCUGCAGGCACGGGCAUCGCUGUGUGACGGGGACUGGACGCUCGGUGGCUCCUCUAGAGUCAAUCAGAGACACCGUGGGCACAGCUGCUGUGGCACUGGAACACAUCACACCCUCUUCUCACCUCAGGGUUUGCCUGUGGGUGGCUCUGAGGCCUGUCCUGUGUUGCGUUGCCUUCAAUCUUAACUCACCAGAGCGUGGAGCAGCAAUCGCAGCUUUCCAGCACCCAGACAUCUGGCUCUGAAGCACAAGGAAAAGCCUUUUCCAUGAUGCCGUAUUCCUCUGCACGUGUUCCACAUCAGGAGCGGGGCUUGGGGGCUAAACCAGAUAAAUCUGGGCCUGUGCUGGGUCUGCGGUUGGUACCCGAGCUCCAGGGAUGCUGUGAGUCCACCCAACACCAGCGGCCGUGACGGUGACCGCGGGUGCCGGCUCUGCCUGGCGUGGGGAGCGUCCACGGGGCGCACGGCACCUCCGGGAGCUCUGCCCGCGGCAGGUGAGCAGUGGUUGGGGUUCAGGGAUGCAGUGGUUGGGGUUCAGGGGUGCUGCUGUCCGUGCAUGGGUAGGACUGAGCCAUUGUUUGGGUUCAGGGGUGCUGUGGUUUGGGUUCAGGGGUGCUGUGGUUGGGGUUCAGGGGUACUGUGGUUUGGGUUCAAGGGUGCUGUGGUUGGGAUUCAGGGGUGCUGCCGUCCAUACAUGGGCAGGACUGAGCCGCAGUUUGGAUUCAGGGGUGCUGUGGUUGGGGUUCAGGCGUACUGUGGUUCGGGUUCAGGGAUGCUGUGGCUGAGGUUCAGGCGUGCUGUGGCUGGGGCUCAGGGGUGCUGUGGUUUGGGUUCAGGGGUGCUGUGGUUCGGGUUCAGGGGUGCUGUGGUUGGGGUUCAAGGGUGCUGUGGUUUGGGUUCAGGGGUGCUGUGGCUGGGGCUCAGGGGUGCUGUGGUUUGG